UCAAGUUUAAUUUUUCAUUCAAAAUCUUCUGUUUGCACUCGUGAAUUUUGUAGGCAUCUUCGCACUUGUUUGCGCUGCGUAGUGAAUGACAAGCGUGCUGAGACAACCAGCGAAAGUUCGACCGAUCAGGAAGGUAGUCGCGCACAGACUAAAUUAUCUCAUUACGCUCGCAUCAAGACUAUGCCGGCAUUUGCAAUGAAACGAGAACAAAAAGAAGCAAGAUAAAUAAGAAGAACGCGCAAUACACAACUAGGAUAACGGGAUCUCUCUUUUUCGGCUAAAGUGCGCAAUUGAUUUUCAGCGAACAAGCCUAGCACAAAUACGGCACUCAUUUAAACGAUAGAUAAUUAUAUUUACAUAUGUAUAUACAUAUGCAUAUUCUUAAGCGAUGAACAGAGGGUAGUGCAUUUUUGAAAUUUAGCACUUUUAAAACUUGGUAAUUUACUAAGGUGCUUAUGUGUAUGUAACUCGACCGAUCAGGAAGGCAGUCGCGCACAGACUAAAUUAUCUCAUUACGCUCGCAUCAAGACUAUGCCGGCAUUUACAAUGAAACGAAAACAAAAAGAAGCACGAUAAAUAAGAAGAACGCGCAAUACACAAAUAGGAUAACGGGAUCGCCUCUUUUCGGCUGAAGUGCGCAAAUUUAUUUUCAUCGAACAAGCUCAGCACACUCAUUUUAUUGGAAAUUUAACAGACGAAUUAAGCAUGAAAAGAAAAAUAAGAAGAACGAGCAAUACACAACUAGGAUAACGGGAUCUCUCUUUUUUGGCUGAAGUGCGCAAUUGAUUUUCAGCGAACAAGCCUAGCACAAAUACGGCACUCAUUUUAACAUAUAUACAUAUGUAUAUUCUGAAGCGAUGAACAAGGGGUAGUGAUUAUUUGAAAUUUAGCACUUUCAAAACUUGGUAAUUUACUAAACUGAGAUAAAAACGACUUAAGCUACACAUGCUUAUUUAUGCGUAUGUAACUCCACCGAUCAAGAAGGCAGACGAUCACAGACUAAAUUGCCCUUUCUCUCUCGCGUACGCUUUGUCGAAACUAAGAUAACGGGAUCAAAAGCGUUACGACCAAUGGCGUGAGCGCAACAUACAGAUAAAAACACUACUCUCUGUUCUAGCUGAAGCCAGGAGUGAAAACGUCAACGCUAAUGAAAUGUUAACAGUGGAAGAGUGAAUAAUCAACCAAAGACAAAUACAUACAUAUGUAAACGGUGUUUGCAAAUACG
rnacentral:sRNA from 1 species